CGCUGCCGAUUCCGAAAAGAAUACUUCCUUGAUCAUUGCAACCCUCAAUUCAAAGCUAGCUUUCUGUACUUCUCAAACAUCCCAUCUUUACCCAAUCUAUACCAAUAUAUUAAAUUGAAGUUGGUGGUGAUGGUACAGGCUAUGUCACUUAGUCAAAAUUACGACCGACUGCCACCGCCGAGUCACGGAAUACCUCCUCACCCGAAACGAUUUUCUGUGUCUUCUCCGCAUUGCACGAACUCCAUCCUUCACGUGCUACCUCCCUCUCCGUGCAGACGAGCUCCAUAUAUGGCUGCCGCCACGAGCAACCGUCACCGUACAUAGAGUGCGACCAGCCCAAGGUGUCGUACACGGUGAACUCCGGUCGCUGGAACAACGUCCUGAUUGUCACCACGGCGUCCGCUCGAACGCAUGGAGAUUCAGGGGAUAAUGGCGGGGGAGAGGGGCUGUGGUGGCCCUGAGUUCGAAGGGGGUAGCCGGCAGCAGGGUCUGAAGGGGGCGACGCUCCUCCGUGACUCCGGCUGAAUCCGAAGAGGGCGCGUGGUUCCUGACCGUGGCAUGCUUCCUCGCCGUUGGCUGGGGGGAACGGGCUUGCAGUGAGCCGAGGCAGGGGAGGGUGGUCGGCGUCCUCAACGUAGGCGACAAGCGGCGCAAAUCGGGUCUACGAGGCUGGGGUCUCUACAGGGUGUCGCCGCGGACCUUCAGGCGGUCGGGUUGGCAGUGGGGGUAGAGCAGAGCGGCGGUGGUCGGCGGGUGGCUGGGUCCACGGCUCGAGUUUGCUGGGAUGCACCAUACAAGAGGGUUGGAGAGUACGAUCAAAACGUCGUGGAUUGUGUGGUGUAUCUCUCGGACAGAGGGGAUGUCCGGUGGUAGGUAGAAGGAGAGGAAGGCUCGCCUCGUCGGAGCCGAAGAAGAGUGCUCGCCCUAAAAUUGGCGGCUCUGAAUGGGACAGUGGACUAUGUGGAGUGCUGCGAUGUUGACUAUGGUGGCCUCAAACCUGCUUGUCAGUACCCAGUAACAAACAAAUACUCCAGGGGAGUACAUUAGGUGAUCUUGGUUGUUCUGUCAAUGAUGCUUGCAGAUUCAUCCAUAGUUGAUCCCUGACUGUGCCUUUUGUAUGUUAUCAGUUUAUCACACCACAGGUUGUUGAAAACACAAAGGGAAGCAAAGUAAAAUAUGAGCUUGGCAAGAAAACAAGAUUGACAAUAAGCGAAGUAACGGUAUGGGUAACUGUCACUUAUUAAGUUAUGGCGUCUUAAGUAUUUGUUGCAAUCAGUGGCAAAGACUUCUAGAACAUGUGGCCACUGAUAUCUCAGCAGCAAGAAGGCGAUGCGCGACAUGGAUCCCAAGCCUUCAACUGUAGGGGGUGUGAAGGAUAGAAUGGCGCAAGGCAAGCUAAGAGGCUUCAGUUCAUUUAAGCUGCUUAUCCGUUGCAACGCACAGACAUUGUACUGGUAGAUAUAGUUAAUUACGAGCAGAUUGCCAUCCAAGAGUUUCCCAAACAGAUUCAGAUUCGGUCGAUCUCUUUUUCCCAAGCCCGGGCCUCAACCCAUCUAUCUGUAACGUUGUUGUAGUGAAAAACCAAUGCGCUUAUUCUUUUGAGGAUUUAUCGUUUGUGUAUGGAUGAAAUAUAGGAUGAUAAAUGUCAUAGCAGCGAGGAGAAUCUAUCUUCGACAAGUGAGUAGCAAACAAUACCCACUUCAGCUAGAAUUUCAAUCUACGGGUAUUACAGACAUUUUAUAAACAGACAAUAAGCUUAAAGACUACAACCGAAAAGAGCUGGAAUACAGUUCCUCAUGGGAUUGUCCUCACCGCAGUUUCUAUGGGUACAGAAACUAAAAGCUUUUCUAGAGAAGCCUGGCCUAUUAUCCGU